UACAGAGGGUGCAAACGUUGUUCGGAAUUACUGGGCGUAAAGCGCACGUAGGCGGAUUGUUAAGUCAGGGGUGAAAUCCUGGAGCUCAACUCCAGAACUGCCUUUGAUACUGGCGAUCUUGAGUUCGGGAGAGGUGAGUGGAACUGCGAGUGUAGAGGUGAAAUUCGUAGAUAUUCGCAAGAACACCAGUGGCGAAGGCGGCUCACUGGCCCAUAACUGACGCUGAGGCACGAAAGCGUGGGGAGCAAACAGG
rnacentral:rRNA from 1 species